ensembl:lncRNA
UCACCUCUUAAUCCGAUCACCUGGCACCAUGAACAGAGGCAAAAAACGAAACUUCACGGAGUCUGAGCUCGAGAUUUUGCUCCACGAGGUAGAAAUGCGCAAGCAUAUGCUAUUGGAACCCUGUCAACAGGGAUAAAUGCAAAACAAAAGAGAAGUGAGUGGGAGUGUGUUUGCGAGGCCGUCAAUGCAGUGGGGUCUCAGCAGCGCACACACUCUGAAAUUAAAAAAAAGUGGUCAGACCUCAAGGUGGAGGUGAAGCGGAGGGUUUCUGCCCACCGCCGAAGCGUGACCGCAACAGGUGGGGGGACGGGAGUGGGGGAACUCUCCCCCUUCGAUUUGAGAGUGGCCGCUUUGAUCGGUGACACAGCUCUCACCGGAGUGGUGGGAGCCCAUGAAGGGGACGCCGAGCAUCCCCAAGGUAAAUAUGCUGAAGUCAUAAAUGCUGUAAUUAUACUGGUCAUACAAUUGGCUGCUUGCAAUACACAUAAGUCGUGCGUAAAGAUGCCAGGAUAUUAAAGACUUUGACUCGUGUUUAUUAACUUAAUUUUUUUAUUUUUGAAUAGACAAGCAAGGAGAGGGCACGGAUUGCUCCGUCGGCCCCGGCGUCUCCUCCG